rnacentral:snRNA from 1 species
GGCCCAAUCUGGCUUCGACAUCUGUCACCCCAUUGAUCGACAUUGUUGAUUUGUCUAUCUGGCUGGCUAGGCGGGAGUCCCCUUCCUCCCUUACCGCUUCAAGUGUGUGUCUCCCGAAGCUGUGUGCUCAGUUGAAGAGGAUGUCCUUCCCCGAAUAUAGAUGGACCAGUCUUCGGUCGAGGGUAUACGAGUAGCUACACUCCCCUGCUAGAACCUCCAAACAAGCUCUCAAUUUUGUAUAAAAAAUAAUAAAUAAAAAACUGUAGCACUGUUGUCCCAUUGUUCAUCAAUUUUCUCAAGCAGGUACCAAU